GUAACAAGGUUUCCGUAGGUGAACCUGCGGAAGGAUCAUUAGCGCGCAGGCCGGAGGCUGGCCCCCCACGAUAGGGCCAAACGUCCGUCAGGGGUGAGCAGAUGUGCGCCGGCCGUACCGCCCCAUUCUUGUCUACAUUACUCGGUUGCCUCGGCGGGCCGCGCUCUCCCAGGAGAGCCGUUCGGCGAGCCUCUCUUUAGUGGCUAAACGCUGGACCGCGCCCGCCGGAGGACAGACGCAAAAAAAUUCUUUCAGAAGAGCUGUCAGUCUGAGCGUUAGCAAGCAAAAAUCAGUUAAAACUUUCAACAACGGAUCUCUUGGUUCCGGCAUCGAUGAAGAACGCAGCGAAAUGCGAUAAGUAAUGUGAAUUGCAGAAUUCCGUGAAUCAUCGAAUCUUUGAACGCACAUUGCGCCCCCUGGCAUUCCGGGGGGGCAUGCCUGUUCGAGCGUCAUUUCAGCCCCUCAAGCCCGGCUUGUGUGAUGGACGACCGUCCGGCGCCCCCGUCUUUGGGGGUGCGGGACGCGCCCGAAAAGCAGUGGCCAGGCCGCGAUUCCGGCUUCCUAGGCGAAUGGGCAACAAACCAGCGCCUCCAGGACCGGCCGCCCUGGCCUCAAAAUCUGUUUUAUACUUAUCAGGUUGACCUCGGAUCAGGUAGGGAUACCCGCUGAACUUAAGCAUAU
rnacentral:misc_RNA from 1 species